GAAGAGCUUGUCUGCUCCCUGAAGCCUCAAGAUCAUUCCUCAAAGACACGGAGUGCUGAUUGGGACAUCCCGCAGGUUAAAGUGAGUUUCGGACUCGAUGGUUCUGCACAGCAAAGCUGGGCCGUGUCCCACUUCAACCUCACUUUAUGGUAACUUACUUUCAUAAAAGUUAACAUAUAUAUAAUUUUAUUUA
rnacentral:lncRNA from 1 species